UAAUUAUCGCACCUAAAAAAAUAUAUAUAAAUAAUAGAAUAAAAGUUAGUGUUCUUAUCUCUCCAUUUUGCAAACGCUGCCUUUUCCCCUCUCGCUCUUUCUAUACUGCAGCAAAAAGCUGAAACAAAACUGUUAAUCUUCAUUUCUCUCUCUUUAGCCAGUUUCAGUCUCAGCAUCAACAGACAAACUUCGAUGGCUCAGACCAUUCCUUGGUUUUCUGGUGUUCACAUUUGAUCAUCCGGGUCAUCCUGAAUUGGGGAAUUUUUUAUUUUGGAAGUCUUUAUAGGGAUUGCAUUGGGCUAAUAUUGUCGGAAAGUGAGAUUUUUCGAUACAAAAUAUCUGUUGUCGGUGCUGAUUUUUAUUGCUUUUGGUAAUGGGAAUCUUUGAUGAGAUGGGAUUUGGUGGAAACCUUGAUUUCCUCUCGGCUCCUCCCUGUGAAGGAGAGACAGCUCUGGAGCAUGAACCAGAGGCGACUGUUGAGAAGGACUUAAGUGAUGAAGACAUAGAUGUGGAUGAGCUUGAGAGGAGGAUGUGGAGGGACCGAAUGCUUUUGAAGCGACUUAAAGAGCAGAAUAAGGGUAAGGAAGGAGUUCUCAGUGUAAAGCAGCGUCAAUCUCAGGAGCAAGACCGGGAAGAUAAAUCUAGUGAAUAUAGAACAGUUUUGUGCAUUGGCAGAGAUAAGAUGAAGAAAAUCAAAUUUUGUUGUAAGUUAUGAAAUGCAGGCUCAAGCGAAUUUCUGAGUAUACCCCCAAGGUUUUAGAAAUAACAUAGCUCACCCUGUCACUAGUGAGCCAUUGAUGAACUGUUAGGAUUUAUAAGAUAAUGGGUUUAGUCUAGUAAGUUAAUGGUGUAAAGGCUAUUCUCAUUAGCAUUAGUCAAAUUUGUGAUAAGAAUCAUGUUAUUUAGUUUUCAAAAAUCAAUUGCAAAAUUAUGAAUGAUUAAGGCA